rnacentral:rRNA from 1 species
UACGGGGGGAGCAAGCGUUGUUCGGAUUUACUGGGCGUAAAGGGCGCGUAGGCGGUCAGCACAAGUCAGUUGUGAAAUCUCCGGGCUUAACUCGGAAAGGUCAACUGAUACUGUGCGACUAGAGUGCGGAAGGGGCAACUGGAAUUCUCGGUGUAGCGGUGAAAUGCGUAGAGAUCAUGAGGAAGACCAGUGGCGAAGGCGGGUCUCUGGACAGUUCCUGACACUGAGACACGAAGGCCAGGGGAGCAAACGGG